rnacentral:lncRNA from 1 species
ACUUCUCUGCUGGUCCCUGCCUGUGUAAACACCAUGACUCUGGGUUCUGCUCAGCAGACUGAAGGGAACACAACUAUGAUGAUUCUCUAUGCUGUACUUGGAGAAGGCUGGUUAGUCAUAAGUUUUAAAGCAGGUUUUUAGAUCAAAAAGAAUUGUACUCAAGGAAUUGAAGCUAUGGAGCCUCUGCCACAUCUGGACCUGAUUUUGAUGACAAGAUCCUGUACCUCAAGCCCGAGACUAAUUUCAUAAUUUGAUGAAUCUUUUUGGAGAGUCAUGGGAGGAAUGUAAACAAUUUGUGGC